rnacentral:rRNA from 1 species
GGCGUAGGGUCCAAGCGUUGUCCGGAUUUACUGGGCGUAAAGAGCGCGUAGGCGGUCUGUUAAGUGAGAAGUGAAAUCUCCAGGGCUCAACCCGGAAACUGCUUUUCAUACUGGCAGACUUGAGGGAUGCAGAGGUGAAUGGAAUUCCUGGUGUAGCGGUGAAAUGCGUUGAUAUCAGGAGGAACACCCAUGGCGAAGGCAGUUCACUGGGCAUCAUCUGACGCUGAGGCGCGAAAGCGUGGGUAGCAAACAGG